GGAAAGAGAGGGAUUCGAACCCC
rnacentral:tRNA from 1 species